ensembl:lncRNA
ACAUCUGGCUGUGUCUGACCCACAGUGACUCCAGGUUGUUUCAUCCACUACAGUCUCAUUAAACAGACAGCAUUUUAAAGGUGAUUGUGUAGCAGUGUUGGAUGAGGCCCCAUACAUUGGCCCAUUCCGCAGUGAGCAGCUCACGCAGGGAGUGGUGGCUGUGUUGUGUGGUGUGCAGAAAGAGCUGGGAAUCUGGGAGCUGAGUGCAUGAAGUUCUCUGAAACAUCUCCAGCUUUGCCUUCCAAAGAUUCACAAGAGAUUGAGGCAGAGUGGCAGUGAAAAAUGUUGAUGUAUCAAUAGCCUGGGACCCCACUUGCUCCACUGCCCUGAGAGAUUGCAACAGGAUGCUCCCCUGCUCUUAGUCCAGGACUGGUUUCAAGUCUCCAGAUGCUGCAGGGGUUUGGCAUUCAGACAUUCAGUUUGCUCUUUGAAGAAAAGGAAGGGAGAAAGCAACCAAUAGAAGACACGUUCAUUUCACCACUAACCUGAGAGCUGGAGGAAGCAUUGAUUAUGUUAGUUAAAUGAGGGACAAGGCAGUAAACCAGCAAUAUUUGAAGGAUACUGGAUCUCCUUCCUUCUCACUGUGGUGGAUGGAGCUUCAGCCCGCAGUGCCCGGAGGUUCAGUGGCUGCUGCUGCCUCGCACCCCUCAGCUCCCCGGCCAUGGUCACAUGUAGGAUGUUCCCAGGCUCUCCUAUUUUUGCUGAACAUCUGGAAGGAUCCUCAGGAUGGAUUGCCUGGCAUUUUCAGUGGAGAUAGCUUUGUGCAGAACGUUUGAAUGCAGAUACAUCUGGAGAUUUUCUGCCUCCUCCGUUACAUUCCUGUUGUCAGAGGGGUUUCCAUCUGAACUUAAACUCUUAAUUUAACUGCAUGAAACUGGUGUUGUUAAUAUUAUUUUUCCCUUUAAAUCAGACAUACUUGGAUUCAUGAGGCAAUGGAAAGGAAAAUGGGCUCAGGCUGUUGACCAGGUUCUUCAUCCGUCUGACAGAAGAUCCCUACUAGAACAUCCUAGUUUGUUUUAGACUGCGUAUCUGUGAUGUACUGUAAAGUGUCCAUCGCCAUCUGAGUGCCAAAAAGCUUCUGUGCUGCAGCAGUGGUCUGUUUUCUUCCCUUGCACAUCCAUGGACAAAAAUACAUCCAUGCUCAUGCUGUGUCUCCCUUCACACCAGAGCCACGCGUGGAACUCUUUCAGUUUGUUCUGAUCUCUGUGAGCAGGCGGAGCUGCAAUUUUCUUUCAUUUAAAACUGUUCUUUGUCAUUUGAUGGUUUCACCUUGAGUCCCCUGACAAGAGCUUUCAUGGGCAACAUUUUCACCCCCGUGUUCCUUAAAGCAGAAGAGUUCCUCCUUGUGGGAGUUACUUGUAUGAACUCCACUCUCCCCCCCUGGCAGGAACCCAGUUGGGAUUGCUGCCUUUUGCCAACUUCUGUGUGGGAGUGGAUGCUCCCUCUUGGAAAGCAAAUCCAAAGCAUAUCUGAAGGGGUCCACAGAAGGAGGUAACCCAGUCAAAGGUACAAACAAGAAAUCUUUUUUUUUCCCCAUGCUUUGCUGACUCUUAAGAGGAGGGCUAUGCUCCUCCAGCAAACAAACAGAAGAUGAAAAUUCAUGUGAGAGAGCAGGGAUAAAAUAUGUGUAAUACUAAUUUUGCUAGUUUUCCAAGCCCCAUAUGUUUAGUAACAAAAUAAAAUCACAACACGGGAAAUUGGAUGAUAUAUCCAGGACAUGGGGGGAAAUCUAUGGCUAUUAAUUUGUAAUUUUGUUUUGCUAACUGUGAGACAAGAAGGCUUUCUGCACACUAAAUAAUGAUAGUAUUUGGAGUGAUAAAUCUGAGCAUCCUUGUGCUGUCUCCUGCUGCUGAAUAAAUCUGUUGGGCUG